AGCCCGCGGGGCGGAGCUGUAGCAACCAAGGCUGUACGGUUGUCUCUGCGGGCUGUAGCAGUGGUGCCGGGUGUCGCUUGCCUCUUCAGACUAUGAACAGCUCUUCCAAGGCCAGAACAGAAGCUCCACUUAGGAGCUAGGAUCACCACCACAAAAUAUUACCUCGUGGGGCUCCCCGUGGUCCACUCUGCCCAGAGCCUCGCUUGAAAUUCUGCUGAUAUCCAUCCUAAAAGACAAGCUCGUUAGUACUGAAGAAAUGCAGGUCCUCUGUAUCCAUUCAUCAAGCCUCGAGCACCACGGGAACCUCCACGAGACACACCGCGACUGUUGUAAUAGGGCUGACUGCU